rnacentral:lncRNA from 1 species
UUUCUCACCCGUUCAACCAUAAGAACCAUUUCAAUGCUAUUAGUCUCAUCAGGGUUAAUAUAGUUUGGCAUAGUCCACAAUCGUAUUACCCUGACCUUGAUCCUCCAUUCUGUUUUAUUGGGAUUAAUGUGAGCGACAUAGUUCACAUUUCUAGCCAUUUUCUAACUUCCUGAAGUAUUGAUAAUAGAUAUAUCGCAUUAAUUAGCAAAUAUUAAUAACCAAAUGAUACAUACUUUGGACACA